AUGUCACAGAUACAGCUUACUCAGCCACCCUCUGAAAUCAAAAAGCCGGGUGACAGUGUGAAGAUACCCUGUAAAACAUCUGGAUACACAUUCACUGACUAUUAUAUGAACUGGGUUCAACAAGUUCCAGGGAAAGGAAUGACAUGGGUCGGACGUAUUUACCCUGGGAAUGGAGGCACAGACUAUUCAUCAUCAUUCAAAGGAAGAUUCACAAUCUCCAGAGAUAAUGCCAUUACUACGGCCUUUCUACAGAUAGACAGACUGAGUGUGGAUGAUACAGCCACAUAUUACUGUGCUAGACACACAGUGACAGAAGGAGGAAACUUCCCAUACAAAAACCUCCAGGAGCAAUGUCACCAUCUGACCACUUGGAAGCAGCAGACACCAAAAUACACUAUAUUAUAUCAAUUAACAUUUUAA